rnacentral:rRNA from 1 species
UACGGGGGGGGCAAGCGUUGUUCGGAAUUACUGGGCGUAAAGGGCUCGUAGGUGGCCAACUCAGUCAGACGUGAAAUCCCCCGGCUUAACCUGGGAACUGCGUCUGAUACUGGGAGGCUUGAGUAUGGGAGAGGGAUGUAGAAUUCCAGGUGUAGCGGUGAAAUGCGUAGAUAUCUGGAGGAAUACCGGUGGCGAAGGCGGCAUCCUGGACCAUUACUGACGCUGAGGCGCGAAAGCUAGGGGAGCAAACGGG